rnacentral:lncRNA from 1 species
CAUCACUAAGUCAAGCAACAACUAGUACAUCUCUUUAAUAUUACAUGUCCACUCUAAGCUAUUACAGAUUUCUUUACUUUUCCUGCACUCUGCUGGACUGUCCCUGUACACUGUACACUGAACCUGCAAAACUGGGGUUAAGGGAGUGGGAUGAGCUCUAUAGCCCAGUGAGUAGAACAGUAAAACAUCUCAGUAAAAUAUGAUCUCAUGGAAUGCACCAUAUCACAGACAAGCCACAUCAAGAGUAAACCUGUCACCACAUAGUCCCAGUAACUCUGUGCCAGGGCGUAGAAUCGAGCACCUGGUCUUCCUGUCAUAUAUGUAUAUGUGUAUAUAACACCUCUGUACUUACCAUUGCCAGGGCGUAGUCAAAGGCUCCUGGACUUUGCUAUACCUGCCAGGGCGUAGUCAAAGGCUCCUGGACUUUACUAUACGUGCCAGGGCGUAGUCAAAGGCUCCUGGACUUCCUGUCUGUGACUAUGGGAUCAUUCAGCAUUUACUCACAUCAACAAUGAACAAUGCAAUGCAACAUAUUCGUGGAUACUAAUGCAAGCAACCUAUGGCAUAAACAUGAUGCAUGAGAUAUGCUCAAAAGCAGUUUGUAGUUCAAUUAAAAGUCAUAAGUUUAGUUCCACUCACCUCUGGCUAACUGGACUGACUGACUCUGCAGGUUCUGAAUCUCUGGAGCAGUACUUACUGCUGCUCUCUCUGAUUCCUCUGGUCUGUAUAAGCACAUAAAGACUCAAAUGAG